rnacentral:rRNA from 1 species
AUUGAACGCUAGCGGGAUGCUUUACACAUGCAAGUCGAACGAGUGGCAGACGGGUGAGCAAUAUAUCGGAACGUGCCCAGUCGCGGGGGCUAACUACUCGAAAGAGUGGCUAAUCCCGCAUACUAUUGGAGCGGCCGAUCUCGGCUUAGCUAGUUGGUGGGGUAAAGGCUCACCAAGGCAACGAUCCGUAGCUGGUGUGAGAGGACGACCAGCCACACGGGGACUGAGACACGGCCCAGACUCCUAAGGGAGGCAGCAGUGGGGAAUAUUGGACAAUGGGGGAAACCCUGAUCCAGCCAUCGCGCGUGUAUGAGAAGGCCUUCGGGUUGUAAAGGACUGUUGGCAGAGAAGCGGUAUCUGCAGAAUAAGCACCGGCUAACUACGUGCCAGCAGCCGCGGUAAUAC